CCUCGCUUGUGGGGGGAUUAGUGGCCAAGGGGGGAGUAACACGUGAGUAACCUGCCCUUGACUCUGGGAUAAGCCUGGGAAACCGGGUCUAAUACUGGAUACGACCUUCUGGCGCAUGCCAUGUUGGUGGAAAGCUUUUGUGGUUUUGGAUGGACUCGCGGCCUAUCAGCUUGUUGGUGGGGUAAUGGCCUACCAAGGCGACGACGGGUAGCCGGCCUGAGAGGGUGACCGGCCACACUGGGACUGAGACACGGCCCAAACUCCUACGGGAGGCAGCAGUGGGGAAUAUUGCACAAUGGGCGCAAGCCUGAUGCAGCGACGCCGCGUGAGGGAUGAAGGCCUUCGGGUUGUAAACCUCUUUCAGUAGGGAAAAAGUUGGCCUUUCGGGGUUGGUGACG
rnacentral:rRNA from 14 species